rnacentral:rRNA from 1 species
GACAGAGGUGCCGAGCGUUAGGCGGAAUCACUGGGCUUAAAGCGUGUGUAGGCGGGUGCCUAAGUACCUUGUGAAAUCCCACGGCUCACCCGUGGAACUGCUUGGUAUACUGGUUGUCUUGAGCCUUCUAGGGGCGAGUGGAACAAAUGGUGGAGCGGUGAAAUGCGUAGAUAUCAUUUGGAACGCCAAUGGUGAAAACAACUCGCUGGGGAAGUGCUGACGCUGAGACACGAAAGCCAGGGGAGCGAACGGG